CUACGGGUCGCAGCAGUUAAGAAUCUUCCGCAAUGGACGAAAGUCUGACGGAGCGACGCCGCGUGGGUGAAGAAGGCCGAGAGGUUGUAAAGCCCUUUUCUGCUUGAGGAAUAAGCCUGGUAGGGAAUGACCGGGUGAUGACGGUAGGGCAGGAAUAAGCCCCGGCUAAUUACGUGCCAGCAGCCGCGGUAACACGUAUGGGGCGAGCGUUGUUCGGAAUCAUUGGGCGUAAAGGGCGUGUAGGCGGAAAUGCAAGUCUGGUGUGAAAGACCGCAGCUCAACUGCGGGGACGCGCUGGAAACUGCAUAUCUUGAGUUCCGGAGGGGGAGUUGGAAUUCCUGGUGUAGGGGUGAAAUCUGUUGAUAUCAGGAAGAACAUCGGUGGCGAAGGCGAACUCCUGGACGAGAACUGACGCUGAGGCGCGAAAGCGUGGGGAGCGAACAGGAUUAGAUACCCUAGUAGUC
rnacentral:rRNA from 1 species